GUUCUUGUAGUUGAAUGACAACGAUGGUUUUUCAGACUGUUGGUCUAUGGUUAAAGUCCUAGCUAGAAUA
rnacentral:tRNA from 1 species